rnacentral:rRNA from 1 species
AACGUAGGUGGCAAGCGUUGUCCGGAUUUACUGGGCGUAAAGAGCGCGCAGGCGGUCGUUCAAGUCGCGUGUGAAAGCCCCCGGCUCAACUGGGGAGGGUCACGCGAUACUGAUCGACUCGAAGGCAGGAGAGGGUAGUGGAAUUCCCGGUGUAGUGGUGAAAUGCGUAGAUAUCGGGAGGAACACCAGUGGCGAAGGCGACUACCUGGCCUGUUUCUUGACGCUGAGGCGCGAAAGCUAGGGGAGCAAACGGG